GUCUUCCUUGUCUUGGGGAGCAUUAUGUCCAAUGAUUGUCUAGAGAGGGCAUAGAUGCUGACACCAAUAUUUAAACCGCACGCGCCCAGACAUGUCUGAGCGCAAUUUUUGGAAGC